rnacentral:rRNA from 1 species
CAAUAGCGUAUGUUAAAGUUGUUGCAGUUAAAAAGCUCGUAGUUGGAUUUCUGGUCGGAAGCUCCUGUCCUCUGAUGAGCGUACAAGUGCGUCCUACCAUCCUUCUGUUAACCUUUAAGGCUUUCGCGGCUUUCUAGGGGCUCAGAUAUUUUACCUUGAGAAAAUUAGAGUGUUUCAGGCAGGCUAGCGCCGGAAUACAUUAGCAUGGAAUAAUGGAAUAGGACUUUUGCCUCUUCUGUUGGUCAUGAGGCUCGAGUAAUGAUUAAUAGGGAUAGUUGGGGGCAUUAGUACUUAACUGUCAGAGGUGAAAUUCUCGGAUUUGUUAAAGACUAACUUAUGCGAAANCANNNGCCAAGGAUGUUUUCAUNAA